AUUGAACGCUGGCGGCAGGCCUAACACAUGCAAGUCGAACGAGUGGCGGACGGGUGAGUAAUGUCUGGGAAACUGCCCGAUGGAGGGGGAUAACUACUGGAAACGGUAGCUAAUACCGCAUACCAUCGGAUGUGCCCAGAUGGGAUUAGCUAGUAGGUGGGGUAAAGGCUCACCUAGGCGACGAUCCCUAGCUGGUCUGAGAGGAUGAUCAGCCACACGGGAAAUGAGACACGGUCCAGACUCCUACGGGAGGCAGCAGUGGGGAAUAUUGCACAAUGGGCGCAAGCCUGAAGCAGCCAUGCCGCGUGUAUGAAGAAGGCCUUCGGGUUGUAAAGUACUUUCAGCGGGGAGGCGUUACUCGCAGAAGAAGCACCGGCUAACUCCGUGCCAGCAGCCGCGGUAAUUC
rnacentral:rRNA from 1 species